rnacentral:lncRNA from 1 species
AUGGUGAAUGCAGCAUUAAUACAAUGACUAGCAAGUAGCUCAUACCAUGCAGCGACUCUACAUAAAUAACGGUAAACAAUAAUUAGUAAAAUAUAAUAAUAAAAUAUAAUAUAUUUUUUUAAAAAAAAUUAUCUCAAUCUUAUUUUUCCUCUUUAAAAAUAUAUUUAUUCAAUACAAAGUAGUUGGUACUUAACAAUGGUACAAUAAAUAGCUACAUACAUCAAGU